AAUAAAUGUAAUUUUGCACUGUUUUUAUCUAACAUUUGACAUUCUUUAUUUGAAUUUUUUUAUGAUUAUUGUUUUUAUUGUUAUUAGAUGAUAAAACAUAAAUAGUACUUUAUGUGUGAUUAUUUUUUCGUGGGUCAAACGUUGGACACGAAUAAUCACAGUUGUACUUAUU
rfam:Oryza sativa Japonica Group DNA, chromosome 11, cultivar: Nipponbare, complete sequence.